rnacentral:rRNA from 1 species
AUUGAACGCUGGCGGCAGGCUUAACACAUGCAAGUCGAGCGGAGAUGAGGUGCUUGCAUCUUAUCUUAGCGGCGGACGGGUGAGUAAUGCUUAGGAAUCUGCUUAUUAGUGGGGGACAACAUUCCGAAAGGAAUGCUAAUACCGCAUACGCCCUACGGGGGAAAGCAGGGGAUCUUCGGACCUUGCGCUAAUAGAUGUGCCUAAGUCGGAUUAGCUAGUUGGUGGGGUAAAGGCCUACCAAGGCGACGAUCUGUAGCGGGUCUGAGAGGAUGAUCCGCCACACUGGGACUGAGACACGGCCCAGACUCCUACGGGAGGCAGCAGUGGGGAAUAUUGGACAAUGGGCGGAAGCCUGAUCCAGCCAUGCCGCGUGUGUGAAGAAGGCCUUUUGGUUGUAAAGCACUUUAAGCGAGGAGGAGGCUACCUGGAUUAAUACUCUAGGAUAGUGGACGUUACUCGCAGAAUAAGCACCGGCUAACUCUGUGCCAGCAGCAGCCGCAGUAA